rnacentral:rRNA from 1 species
AAAGGGGAGCAAUCCCUGAGUACAGUGGCGUACGGGUGAGUAACACGUGGAUGAUCUACCCUUUUGUGGGGAAUAACCAUGGGAAACCGUGGCUAAUACCGCAUAAGCUCGAGAGAGGAAAGCAGCAAUGCGCAGAAGGAGGAGUCCGCGGCCGAUUAGCUAGUUGGCAGGGUAAAAGCCUACCAAGGCAGAGAUCGGUAGCCGGCCUGAGAGGGCACGCGGCCACACUGGCACUGAAACACGGGCCAGACUCCUACGGGAGGCAGCAGUGGGGAAUCUUGCACAAUGGGGGAAACCCUGAUGCAGCGACGCCGCGUGAGCGAUGAAGCCCUUCGGGGUGUAAAGCUCUUUCGGCAGGGAAGAUGAUGACGGUACCUGCAGAAGCAGCUGCGGCUAACUACGUGCCAGCAGCCGCGGUAAUACGUAGGCAGCAAGCGUUGUUCGGAGUUACUGGGCGUAAAGGGUGUGUAGGCGGUUGUUUAAGUUUGGUGUGAAAUCUCCCGGCUCAACUGGGAGGGUGCGCCGAAUACUGAAUGACUAGAGUGCGGGAGAGGAAAGUGGAAUUCCUGGUGUAGCGGUGAAAUGCGUAGAUAUCAGGAGGAACACCGGUGGUGUAGACGGCUUUCUGGACCGUAACUGACGCUGAAACACGAAAGCGUGGGUAGCAAACAGGAUUAGAUACCCUGGUAGUCCACGCCCUAAACGAUGCAUAUUUGGUGUGGGCAGUUCAUUCUGUCCGUGCCGGAGCUAACGCGUUAAAUAUGCCGCCUGGGGAGUACAGUCGCAAGGCUGAAACUCAAAGGAAUUGAC